rnacentral:lncRNA from 1 species
GCGGGUACCUGUCAAAAGCCCUCUCAUGCUUAAGUCAGUUAAUGUUCGAACGAUUAAUUAAGCUCUGUAUUAAAUACGCAAUAAAUGAACCCACUUACCUGAUAGCCUUGACUCAUAUUUAUAGUGUAUAGUUAUGGGCCUUACCUUAAAUGGGCCCUAACCAAGGCCCAAUUUCAGCCCAAUGACCUUAACCUAUCUGCUUACCUUCAUCCAACCGAUCCUUACUCUGACUUUGCAAUCUAUUUAUUCACAGCCGUUUUGCCUUCUAGGACUUGGGCCGUCCAU